UGGCAGCGUUGCAGGGAAGAGCCGAUCUGUCUCAGACGGAAUCUGGCGGCGCGGAAGGGAGCACGCGACACGCUGACAGCGCGCUC
rnacentral:SRP_RNA from 12 species